UUUUAUCCCUUUCCAAUGUAUUAGUUGCACAGUUGCGCUGUAGUUUAUUUUCAUCUACUUUCUUAGCCCAUGCCAAUUAUAUGUGACGCGGCAUCAUGUACUAAUAAUACUAUUACGAAUGUAGAUGUUAUUCCUUCACUCUUCCAAACAUUUAGUAUCUGUACUCUACCAAGCAGAUGGUAUUGGUCAUGAAGAACUCAUGCUAAAGAAUUUUUUUAGAAGACCUUCAUAAGUCAAAUGUCGAUUUACUGCUUUUUCUCAGACUUGUUUACCCAGGCACCUAAAGGUUCUACCAUGGCAAAUACAAAAAUACUGGAGGCCUAGGAGGUCCGCUUCACGUAUUCGAUCUAGAAGAAAGCAUUGAACAGAAGGGUACAGAGGAAAGAAAUGCAAAUGGCAUGUACUUCUAUGUUUUUCUCUUUAUGUUCUUGUUUUUUCUUAUUUUCUCGUUUUGUGUGCACAGUAAAAUUGAAAACACAAUUGAGUUACUGACUCGUCUUAUUGAUGAAGCUUGCCGCUUUUCAAGAUUGAUAGAUGAAAUCUUGCUCUUCCUUAUGCAAGUUCUUUAACCACUAUAACUUGAUAUUGCAUUUAGUGUUUCAUUGGCCCAUCUACAUGUCUGUCUAUACAUUUAAUAAGGUACUUCUCAUUUCAAUUUCAUAAGUUAAUACUCUUGUACCAUGUUAUCUUGUCUAUUUUCAUCUAAUAAGCAUGCAACGGUGUUGUGUUUCGUCAAUUUUAUAGGAACAGGGAGGAGUUAGCUGCAAGACUUGAAUCACAAGAAAAAGAGGAAGUAUCAAGAAAGUUUGAAGUUUCGAAGAAGAGCCGGCAAGACAAGAGGGAAGCCUGGGAAAAGAAGCAACAAAAAAUUGAGAACCUAGUUGCCUUUCUCUCAAUCAAGGGAUCGAGCAACUUAGUAGUCCUUUUCCAAUCCUGAUAAUGCAUGAAGGUCAUCCUUUUGUGAUGGAAGAUAGUUGCUGAAUGAUACAUAACAAUCAUGCGGACAAUACUUCUGUGGUCUUUAGUUAUCGUUAUCUAAAUAUUAGUUUCCAACAUGUAUAUUGUCGUGAUUGUCAAACUAGUGAAUGAAUGUUGUUGUUGUUCUUGUUAUUGAGAGGAUGAUUUGGCUGAGAUGAUUGAAUUUAUAAUAUGAUUAGGCUGCCAAAUACAUUUUGUAAAAUACGUUUUGUAGCCGUGGGAUAUUUUGGUUAGUGCUGACAUGGCAGCAAG
rnacentral:lncRNA from 1 species